rnacentral:rRNA from 1 species
UACGUAGGGUGCAAGCGUUGUCCGGAUUUAUUGGGCGUAAAGAGCUCGUAGGCGGCUUGGCAAGUCGGAAGUUAAAACAGAAGGCUCAACCUUCUGCCGCUUUCGAUACUGCCAUGGCUAGAGUCUGGUAGGGGAUGACGGAAUUCCUGGUGUAGCGGUGGAAUGCGCAGAUAUCAGGAGGAACACCAGUGGCGAAGGCGGUCAUCUGGGCCAGUACUGACGCUGAGACGCGAAAGCGUGGGGAGCGAACAGG